UGGGGAAUUUUGGACAAUGGGGGAAACCCUGAUCCAGCCAUCCCGCGUGUGCGAUGAAGGCCUUCGGGUUGUAAAGCACUUUUGGCAGGAAAGAAACGUCGUGGGUUAAUACCCCGCNAAACUGACGGUACCUGCAGAAUAAGCACCGGCUAACUACGUGCCAGCAGCCGCGGUAAUACGUAGGGUGCAAGCGUUAAUCGGAAUUACUGGGCGUAAAGCGUGCGCAGGCGGUUCGGAAAGAAAGAUGUGAAAUCCCCAGAGCUUAAACUUUUGGAACUGCAUUUUUAACUACCGGGCUAGAGUGUGUCAGAGGGAGGUGGAAUUCCGCGUGUAGCAGUGAAAUGCGUAGAUAUGCGGAGGAACACC
rnacentral:rRNA from 1 species